GACCUCUCCCCGUGCGUUGGCCUCGUCCACGAUCUGCACGAAGCGGUCGAUCUGGUCAGGGGCCGGCGGGCAGAAGUCGGGGAUGCGCAGACGGUGCAGGACCUGCUGUGGGAAGCUUUGGGAAGCUUUGGGAAGAAGCCAGCUGCCAUGUUAUGAGAACACUCAAGCAGCUGUGUGGAGAGAUCCAUGUGGUGAAGAACUGAAGCCUCCUACCAACCAUCAAGUCAAUGGCUCACUAUUGUUGCAGUGAAUUCUCCAGCCCAUGAAGAGUUUAGAUGACUUACCCAACAUCUUGAUUAUAGCCUCAUGGAUUCCCUGAGCCAGAACAACCCAGCUAAGCCUCUCCUGAAUUCCUUACCUAUAGAAACUGUGAGAUAAUAAAUAUUUAUUCUUGUAAGCCAUCAAA